AUAUGAGUUAGGGUCUUCAGGUGGUU
rnacentral:sRNA from 1 species